AGCAGGAUAGAGAAGUGGUUUCUUCCUGGUUCCCUUAUCCAGAGGCGGUGGUUCAAUUCCGCCUUCGGCAA
rnacentral:tRNA from 2 species